UCCUCUCCUGUCUCCGGCCCAUGGUGCUUUGCCCUUUUGUCUCAUGUUUAGAAAACUACAGAAACUCUUGCUUAGCUUUGAUAUGAACCAUAUUGCUCACAGACACUUUUCUUUUUCCCCACAUUCCUUAAAGAUGGAGCGACAAGCCUUCUCCAGCUCAGUUGUCCAAGAAUUUCUCAAUUGCUUGCUAGCAUUUGUCUUCCAAACCACUGCUGUCUUGGUGGCACAGUGACCGGUAUUGGCUUCUCACAGAGGAAAAUCCUCCUGCCUCAGGCUUCGCUGUGGGCCUGAAAAACUUCCACCUUUCUUCUGAGACAUCUGAAGCCAUGACCCUCACUGGAAGCUAUGCAGCUACGGAGGAGUGCCUGCUGCUGCAAGGUGCUGCUUUCAGGCAAGCUGGUGAGCGGGGUCAGGGACUGCUAAGAGGAUGUGCAAAUUCAGCAACGAGAGACUGAGAAUGCUGUACUCAUGUUGGUGUCUGUGCCUUUGCGUGUUGUAACAGACAGAAGGGCUAGCAAGCAUCUCUGUCUUCUGGGGACAAGUGUCCAGCACAAGCAAGUCUUUUGUUCCAGCAGGACCCUUCAGGUGAUAUACCACAAUACCAACUAGGAAUGAUCUGAUAUAUAUUGAAAGACUUCAUAA